UGGGGAAUAUUGGACAAUGGGCGCAAGCCUGAUCCAGCCAUGCCGCGUGUGUGAAGAAGGCCUUUUGGUUGUAAAGCACUUUAAGCGAGGAGGAGGCUACUUGGAUUAAUACUCUAGGAUAGUGGACGUUACUCGCAGAAUAAGCACCGGAUAACUCUGUGCCAGCAGCCGCGGUAAUACAGAGGGUGCGAGCGUUAAUCGGAUUUACUGGGCGUAAAGCGUGCGUAGGCGGCUUUUUAAGUCGGAUGUGAAAUCCCUGAGCUUAACUUAGGAAUUGCAUUCGAUACUGGGAAGCUAGAGUAUGGGAGAGGAUGGUAGAAUUCCAGGUGUAGCGGUGAAAUGCGUAGAGAUCUGGAGGAAUACCGAUGGCGAAGGCAGCCAUCUGGCCUAAUACUGACGCUGAGGUACGAAAGCAUGGGGAGCAAACAGG
rnacentral:rRNA from 1 species